rnacentral:rRNA from 1 species
AGAGUUUGAUCAUGGCUCAGAUUGAACGCUGGCGGCAUGCCUUACACAUGCAAGUCGAACGGCAGCAUGAUGUGUAGCAAUACACGUUGAUGGCGAGUGGCGAACGGGUGAGUAAUAUAUCGGAACAUGUCCUGUAGCGGGGGAUAACCUAUCGAAAGAUGGACUAAUACCGCAUACGCUCUACGGAGGAAAGCGGGGGUCGCAAGACCUCGCACUAUAGGAGUGGCCGAUAUCGGAUUAGCUUGUUGGCGGGGUAAAAGCCCACCAAGGCGACGAUCCGUAGCUGGUCUGAGAGGAUGAUCAGCCACACUGGAACUGAGACACGGUCCAGACUCCUACGGGAGGCAGCAGUGGGGAAUUUUGGACAAUGGGCGCAAGCCUGAUCCAGCCAUGCCGCGUGAGUGAAGAAGGCCUUCGGGUUGUAAAGCUCUUUCGGCAGGAACGAAAUGGUUCGUGCUAAUACCACGGAUUGAUGACGGUACCUGAAGAAGAAGCACCGGCUAACUACGUGCCAGCAGCCGCGGUAAUACGUAGGGUGCAGGCGUUAAUCGGAAUUACUGGGCGUAAAGCGUGCGCAGGCGGUUUCUUAAGUCAGAUGUGAAAGCCCCGGGCUUAACCUGGGAACUGCGUUUGAAACUGGGAGACUUGAGUGUGGCAGAGGGGGGUGGAAUUCCACGUGUAGCAGUGAAAUGCGUAGAUAUGUGGAGGAACACCGAUGGCGAAGGCAGCCCCCUGGGUUAACACUGACGCUCAUGCACGAAAGCGUGGGGAGCAAACAGGAUUAGAUACCCCAGUAGUCC